rnacentral:rRNA from 1 species
UACGAAGGGUGCAAGCGUUGCUCGGAAUUAUUGGGCGUAAAGGGUAGGUAGGUGGUUACGUAUGUCUGGGGUGAAAUCCCUGAGCUUAACUCAGGAAGUGCCUUGGAAACGGCGUAACUAGAGUACUAGAGAGGUUCGUGGAAUUCCCAGUGUAGCGGUGAAAUGCGUAGAGAUUGGGAGGAACAUCAGAGGCGAAGGCGGCGAACUGGAUAGUAACUGACACUGAACUACGAAAGCGUGGGUAGCAACAGGG